CAAAGUUUGAAUAAUUUUAGAAGCAAAAUGAGUAGCAUUGCAGUGUAUAAACAUGAAAUUCUGGUACAAUAUUUAGAUUUUAUUACCAGCUACAUCCAAUAUGGGGCAAUAAAAAAUCAAGAAAAAAAUUAUCAUUUUUGAUUUCAGUUGUUUCUGAGCUUCACUUACAAAUUAUAAUAAUAGUAACAUUGAAAAUAAUUGUUAAGUAUUAAAAUGAAAAUCAUAAAUAAUGAUAAAUUAUGGUUGUAUAGAUUAGAAUAGAACUCUUCAAAUCAUUUAUACAGGUGAAUGUUUGGUUUCAUUUGCCAAAAGAGCAAGUGUAACUUAAAGGUAUAUACAUGUAUAUCCCUGACUAAUGACAUGUAAUGUUUCGUUUUAGCGAUUCAAGUUUGAAGUCACUGUAGAAUGUGUAGUAUGGUAGAGGUUUAUAAUGAGAUACUUUAGCUUGGAUUCGGAUGCAGAAGCUUUUACCAAAAGAAAACAUUCGGUAAGAGAUAACAGCAUUAUCAGGGAUCAAUACUGUUAAUAUAUAGGUCCCUGGCAUUACACAACAAUUCAUCAAUACUGUUAAUAUAUAGGUCCCUGGCAUUAUCAGGGAUCAAUACUGUUAAUAUAUAGGUCCCUGGCAUUACACAACAAUUCAUCAAUACUGUUAAUAUAUAGGUCCCUGGCAUUACACAACAAUUCAUCAAUACUGUUAAUAUAUAGGUCCCUGGCAUUAUCAGGGAUCAAUACCGUUAAUAUAUAGGUCCCUGGCAUUACACAACAAUUCAUCAAUACUGUUAAUAUAUAGGUCCCUGGCAUUA